CAGAUGUUUACAACGUCUGGCAAUCAGUAAAAGACUGAUUAUCGUCGGAUGUGGGUGGGCUGGACGUUAGCAAUGAGUUUAUUAGUGCAUAUUUUCAUGUUACGAUGACUUCUGCUUCCCGGUGCAGUCUGUCUGCAGGAACACAGAUACGGAGGACCCCUCAACUUCUGUGUGGCUGCAGCAUGAAGGGCUGGUGGGGGGGCAGGCAAGAGAGCAGGCUGAGUUCAGAAUGAAGGGCGGAUGUGUCGGGCCAAGGCAUUUGGAUUCAAUCCUGGCUAUAGAUGCUUCUUCACGUGCAGAGGCUGUGCUGCCUGCUGCUGCUCCUGGCACCGGCUGACAUUCCAUCGCUCGUUUCUAGCUGUAAGCACAGAGCCAAGAAACUAUCUCCUCAUGCGUACUUUCACUACUGACUCUUCGGCGUCUUAAUUCAUUAACAAUCAUGCCUUAACGCACCCUUUCUGCAGCAGGACACACUACGUGCCAGGCACCACGCUGUGUUCAAGACACAAAGCCACGUGGAAGAGGCCCCAGCCGCCAAGCCACUUACGGUCUGGGAGACAGAGACAGACACGUGAACCAGGAAAAUCAGUAAAGGGGGAGAGGCACACACGUCAAUACAGGGAACACUGGCAGGGACCCAACCGAACAUUUCAGUCCGAGAGAAGGACAGAGAGCUCAGUCCUCUGUCCCCCACAGGCGUCCAGGCUGCAGGGAUCCACAAGGUGCUCAGCCGGGGCCUUCCUUAAAACCACCUUCAGCAUCCAGAAAUGUGCCGGGAUACUUAAUUCCAGAGAAUGCGUCCACCAGCGUGAUCCCCCAGGCGGCCGAGUAUCACUGUAAAUCCACAGGGCUCCAAAAAUCCUUGAACGAAGCUGCAUGCAGCUGACGGGCGCAGCCAGCAUGACAGGUAUCUUUUUAAUUUCUUUCUGGUCAAAA
rnacentral:lncRNA from 1 species